ACCGCCCAGAAUCCAGAAUCCAGAAUCCAGAGAAGAGGUCAUAAACUAGGCCUGAAUCAGAGUACGGGGAUUCCUCCCCCUCCCCCCAGUGAUUGAGCCCACGUAAAGAUGACAAGCAGAAUGAAGGUUUCUCUGAGAAUUUCCACCAAAGGGGCUCACUCUGUCCUGCCAGAGUCAGAAGUGAAAGGUGAAAUAGAAUCCAGGCUUACAGAAAUGGGUUCCCGAAGCCAGCUUGCCUUGAACUUGCUCACCAAUUUCUUCCUUUUUUUUUUUUUUUAACUGAAGUUAGUUUGUUUUACAUUGUCAGUUACUUCAAACUGAAAACAAGACAGACGAACAAAAGACAGAAGGGAUCGUUUCUUUGUGCCUUAAUCGCACACAGUGUGAAGAAAAUCUGUUGUAGUAUAUUCAUCGGACGAAAUCGACUCAUAAAACGUAAGUGGGGCACACCAAAAUGAACAUAACCUACGAUUCAAACGAUUUACUGAAGAUAUUAGGAUGGCUGCAAAUAGUCUCCUGUGCCUUUGAUUUUUAAGGACUGUAUUAAAGUCGCCGUGGUUUAUAAUUUUACCCCACUGGAGAAGCCACUCUACAAUUAAUGCUGCUUACUUAUUAUAAUGAGUCAUUGUUUACCAUGUCAAGCUAUUAGUUUAGCUCCGGGUCUUGAGCCUAAAAGCACUGGUUUUUUUGCAGAACACUUAAGGCAAUCAUAAGUCCAUAGAAGCCUUCUGUAUAACCUAUUUUACUGACAAACAAUUACAUUUUAGAUUGAAGAGGUGAAAUGAUUAAGAAUAUUUGACUUAGUUGCCAUGACAGCAUACAUUUUUCAUCAGGCACAGUGUAAUUACUACAAUUUCAAUGAUGUAAAAUCAAGAAAGAUGAUAACAAACAGCAGAGCCGUGGAGAUAUUGCCAUUGCAACCGGGUUGCCAUAGCAACAGUGAUAAUAAUCCCGGUGAUAGAUGUUUUCUCUUGCUCUUUCCAUUUUGUACGGUUAUAACAUUCAGAGCCAGUUUUUACCACAGCUUUUUAUAGUUUAUUAGACUGUCAAAAUAGUUUAUGAGAUGUUGUUGCAAAGGAAAUGACUGAGUUCCGCAGCCUAAUAAAAAUGCCAAAUACUCUGUUUACAUACUGCUCCAGCACUUAACAAACAUUAAAAAAUUGUAUGAAAAAUGA